CACGUAGGGCGCAAGCGUUGUCCGGAAUUAUUGGGCGUAAAGAGCUCGUAGGCGGUCUGUUGCGUCCGCUGUGAAAUCUCGGGGCUUAACCCCGAGCCUGCAGUGGAUACGGGCAGACUAGAGGUAGGUAGGGGAGAAUGGAAUUCCCGGUGUAGCGGUGAAAUGCGCAGAUAUCGGGAGGAACACCGGUGGCGAAGGCGGCAUCCUGGACCGGCAUUGACGCUGAGGCGCGAAAGCCAGGGGAGCAAACGGG
rnacentral:rRNA from 1 species